rnacentral:rRNA from 1 species
GGAUGCGAUCAUACCAGCACUAAAGCACCGGAUCCCAUCAGAACUCCGAAGUUAAGCGUGCUUGGGCGAGAGUAGUACUAGGAUGGGUGACCUCCUGGGAAGUCCUCGUGUUGCAUUCCUUU